UAACGGCGAGUGAAGCGGCAACAGCUCAAAUUUGAAAUCUGGCCCUCGGGUCCGAGUUGUAAUUUGUAGAGGAUGUUUCUGGCGACGUGUCUUCCGAGUUCCCUGGAACGGGACGCCAUAGAGGGUGAGAGCCCCGUCCGGUCGUACGCCUAGCCUCUGUGAAACUCCUUCGACGAGUCGAGUAGUUUGGGAAUGCUGCUCAAAAUGGGAGGUAUACGUCUUCUAAAGCUAAAUACCGGCCAGAGACCGAUAGCGCACAAGUAGAGUGAUCGAAAGAUGAAAAGCACUUUGAAAAGAGGGUUAAAUAGUACGUGAAAUUGCUGAAAGGGAAGCGCUCAUGACCAGACUUGGGCUCGGUGAAUCAUCCGGCGUUCUCGCCGGUGCACUUUGCCGGCCCAGGCCAGCAUCAGCUCGCCCCGGGGGAUAAAGGUUUCGGGAAUGUAGCUCCCUCGUGGAGUGUUAUAGACCGUUGCGUAAUACCCUGUGGCGGGCUGAGGUACGCGUUCUGCAAGGAUGCUGGCGUAAUGGUCAUCAGUGACCCGUCUUGAAACACGGACCCAAGGAGUCGUCUUCGUAUGCGAGUGUUCGGGUGUCAAACCCCUACGCGUAAUGAAAGUGAACGUAGGAGAGAGCUUCGGCGCAUCUCCGACCGAUCCUGAUGUUCUCGGAUGGAUUUGAGUAAGAGCAUACGGGGCCGGACCCGAAAGAAGGUGAACUAUGCCUGUAUAGGGUGAAGCCAGAGGAAACUCUGGUGGAGGCUCGCAGCGGUUCUGACGUGCAAAAUCGAUCGUCAAAUAUGGGCAUGGGGGCGAAAGACUAAUCGAACCU
rnacentral:rRNA from 1 species